GGCCCAUUAGAACAACUGAAUAGAUCGUCACACUACGGAUGUGAAGGUUGCAGGUUUGAAUCCUGCAUGAGUCA
rnacentral:tRNA from 1 species